GACGUAGGGCGCGAGCGUUGUCCGGAUUUAUUGGGCGUAAAGAGCUCGUAGGCGGCUUGUCGCGUCGACUGUGAAAACCCGCGGCUCAACCGCGGGCGUGCAGCCGAUACGGGCAGGCUAGAGUUCGGUAGGGGAGACUGGAAUUCCUGGUGUAGCGGUGAAAUGCGCAGAUAUCAGGAGGAACACCGAUGGCGAGGGCAGGUCUCUGGGCCGAUACUGACGCUGAGGAGCGAAAGCGUGGGGAGCGAACAGG
rnacentral:rRNA from 1 species